rnacentral:rRNA from 1 species
UACAUGGGGUGCAACCGUUGCUCGGAAUUAUUGGGCGUAAAGCGCGCGUAGGCGGUUACUUAUGUCGAAUGUGAAAGCCCUCGGCUUAACUGAGGAAGUGCAUCCGAAACUGGGUAGCUAGAGUACUAAAGAGGGUCGCGGAAUUCCCGGUGUAGAGGUGAAAUUCGUAGAUAUCGGGAGGAACACCGGUGGCGAAGGCGGCGACCUGGGUAGAUACUGACGCUGAGGCGCGAAAGCGUGGGGAGCAAACAGG